rnacentral:rRNA from 1 species
CACCUUCGGGUGAGUGGCGGACGGGUGAGUAACGCGUGGGAACGUGCCCUUUGGUACGGAACAACUGAGGGAAACUUCAGCUAAUACCGUAUGUGCCCCCAUUCUUAGCGGGAUGGGCGGGAAAGAUUUAUCGCCAUUGGAGCGGCCCGCGUUGGAUUAGGUAGUUGGUGAGGUAAAGGCUCACCAAGCCUACGAUCCAUAGCUGGUCUGAGAGGAUGAUCAGCCACACUGGGACUGAGACACGGCCCAGACUCCUACGGGAGGCAGCAGUAGGGAAUCUUGCGCAAUGGGCGAAAGCCUGACGCAGCCAUGCCGCGUGAAUGAUGAAGGUCUUAGGAUUGUAAAAUUCUUUCACCGGGGACGAUAAUGACGGUACCCGGAGAAGAAGCCCCGGCUAACUUCGUGCCAGC